rnacentral:tRNA from 1 species
GGGGGGAUAGCUUAAUGGUAAAGCAUACUGCUCAUAACAGGAAAAAUGUUAGUUCGAAUCUGACUCCCCCCA